AGCCAAAGUUUUAGUUUCUUUACCCGAAGUGCCGCUUGGCUCCGCCGUGGUCCCUCCGGUACGAGCGCUGGUGUGCGCACCCCGAGGGACAGAGGCAUCUGAGUACACCCAGAGAUGGGUGUACUUCUUGGGAGAUGCGUAAUCCUGCUCUCUUGGCACACUGUUUCAUGAUGCCGUCAAAUGAAGGCUCUACGGAUGCUUUUCUGAAGAUGAUGUUUCACCCCCACAUAAAUAACCAGAGCAGUUCAAGGACACCUGGGUUGAACCGCCUGGAUGGCUUUAUGGUGGAAGGGGAAUGAGAACAGUCCUGGCUUGCAGACAAGAUCUGCGCAAUCUGAGCAAAACCCUGAAAGAAAGACACUGCAUGAUGGUGAGUUAGCAGCUACUGUCAGGCUUCAGCCUCCCAAAAGGAGACAAGUCCUCAGCAGUAGCCACCACAUGAAGAUACUGAGGCCUACCGGAAUGCCACUGGGAAGACUGUCAAGAGCACUUUUGAGAGACCUGGGCAUGGGAGUGUGUAGAGGGGAGAGGAAUGACAGCUCAGUGCUGCUCAUAAAGCUGAGGUUAUGGCUGGGGAGAAAAACGGGAAAUCUAAACUUGGAGGUUCCCUCUUAAAUGCAAUGGGAUUGGAAAUAUGACCUAGCUGUUUGAUGUCUUACUCCCCCAGUUACACUGAUAACACAGUAAAAGCUCUGUGGCUUAACCAAUGGCACCAGGGUCUUAACAACUAUGUGUAUUUUAAUGUCCUAAUUAUACUGAACGGCAAUUGAAUUAUAGUUGAUUUCUCACUGUUCCUCACGGGUACUCGCUGCUUUAUCUGAACCCCAGGCUGUGGGCAGGGCUUGUCCCCAUGAGGCACAUCCAAGAAGCUCCAUCUGAAAACAUGCUGUGGCAAACAGAAGGGGAGUGAGGCAGAGCCCAUGACUGCGGAGGAGAGUGGUGGCACCACCUGAUGGAUUGCACAUUCCUGCAAGUGCCUCAGCUGCUGUUGAGCAAUCCUCAGUGUGACAAACUUGCUCCCAGAACUGCACUGGUGCAGACAGGUUAUUCUUCAGGGCCAAAUCUCUUAGGAACGGUCUCUGAAGGAUUCAGAGUUAAGUAGGCUUGAAUGAGCUGGGGCUGAUGAAUCUGAGCAUGCUGCAGGCAGCCCAGUUCUCUGUGCUGAAUCCCCUAAAUGCAAUGCUCCUGAGCCCUUGGAGGUGUGUGCUGGUUCCCAGCUAAUGUUAAAAUAGCCAGCUGCUACAAGCCAGGCAAUGAAUCCUUCUGGGGAUGGCAUUGUCCUCAAACUAUGUCUAUGGUCCUGAUUCCCGACCUGUUCCCCAGGUAGGAGCCUUAAGCAGACUUUGGGGUAAGUCCAGAAAGGACUGAGAAUCAUAAGUAGCCAAAUUAGGCACUUAUAACUGGGGGGAACAUUGAAGGAAUUGCCUCUGUUUCAAGCAUCAGCCCUUGUCUUUGCUGGCCUUCCAUGCAUACAGCAAGCCAUUUCCCUGCGAGCAGGCUACCUCAGGAGGGUAAAUUUGGCCAGGACCUCUGAAAAGGGUUUUUACUGUAGGUGAGGUUUUGCUCUUUCCUUGUUUAGAAGGAAUAAAUCUAUAGGCAUAGUCAGUUCUUGCUCCUUGAGGAUCCUACCUUCACUUAGUGAUAGGCAAUGAAAGUCCCAGCCUUACCUGUGAACCCUGAGGACCCAGCAGUGGUACAGUAAAUACUGGUAUCCACUGCUAUUUCUUGGGUCCCAGAGCCCUUGUGCCUUCUUGUUUGCCCUUGUAUUAACGGAGUGCAAGUUUCUAUGUCAGUGGAUUGCAACAGCAUGCUGCCUGGGUAAGUGAAGAGGGAGACCUAGGCUUUUGUACAGCCGGGCUCCUUGCAGACAGCUCCUGGCUCUGCAGCCUGCUUGGGAGGGGAAGCCUGAGCCGUCUGGGUAGGACACACAGCACCUGGGUGCUCUCUGGGGGUGGUGGCCCUGGUUGCUUUUGAAUGGCUGUGCUGAGAUCCAUCUGCAAUUUGGGUUUGGGGUCCCACAGAGCCCAGAAUGAAGAAGGCUGUCUAGAAACCAUUUAUAAAGAUCAGCACUCGAUGGCAUCAAUAACUCCCUCUGGGCUUCUUGCAGGCUGAGAUAGUGGCAAAUUGUCAAAAUUACUUAACGUCCUGGAACACCACCCAUUCCAGUAUGAAUAGGCUUCUUGUGUACAAUCCACAUGAUCGUAGUGUUUUUCUGGUGUCUCUAUGGAGACUGGAGACAUACUUCUGGUCUAUUGGUUUGAGAUCUCUUUUUCUUCUCUGCUUUCAGGUAAAUUGUCUUGUAGGAAAAAGAAAGAAAACAAACAGAUAUAAUCCUCACGAAUAAUGAAUAAAGCAUCAGUCACAGAAUGCCAAAACAUCCUGGUCCCUUUUAUAGAAGGAGUUGGAAAUAUUUUGAUUUUUGAACAUACUACCACCCAGCUUGGCAGAGAUUUAGCAAGGCUUGUGCAAAAAUAAUUGGCCUUAGGCAAAGCUGGAUGAAGCAUUGAGCAUUCAGAUGUGGAUCCUCACCCAAAUUAGGCUGGAGUAUGGAUUAAAGAGUGAAGCAGUGUUAAAUUUGGGAAGCCUACCACGCCAAAAACUAGGGGAGCGUUUUAAAGACGUUCCAGUCCCAAACACUGACACUCUCAUGAGAUCAGAUGCUUCCCCUUACUGUUGGCUCUGAUUCCUGCAGAAAAGCGGUUUAAAUGAAAUUUUUGUUACCUUGGCCACAUUAAAAUAGAUGUCUUGGUUUUCACUGGCAUCCUGGAAAGGACAGCAAUGUAGGUAGGGUGAUGAAGAGAUGGAUAUGCAGAGUAGAGUUCUCUAGAGAAAUGUAUGCAUGGGGAAACCACUAUUGUUCCACUAAUAUCUGAUGAAUACUACGGGGUACCAGGCACACGUGUCUUGCCCAAACCACAUGCUUAAAUAUUGUUUAGGACAGUAUCAGGAAUGGUUGCCCUGUGUGAUAUUCUCCAGGAUUUUUUCCUUCCUCAGCAGUGGGGGCCGUGUCCAUGACCAGUAUGAUCUGCUACCUCUGCUCCACAGCGAGUCCCAUAAGUGUUUUACUGCUCAGGGUGGCACAGAAGGCUCCUUUACAUUCCUGAUUGCCGCUCCCAAACUCCUCGGCUCUAGUUUACAAGUCCGGAUUCUAGCCUCUUAGCUAUAACAUGAAAAAACAAAUCCCCACUUGCUGAAAGAUGGCAUAUGUUUCUUGGCAUCAGCACAGGUGUACGUGGUACCUAUACAACACCCAGAAAACAGAGCCACCCCGUAAACAUCUCUCUAAAUGCCUUCAGUUCUGUCAGUGAGUCUGUUUCAGGGUUCAUAAUGAUUUAUUCUACCCAGUUUGGCAUGCUCUUUGGUGCCCUGAAUAAUGGCAAGGCAAUGCCCCUGGUGAGCUCAUGGAAACCACUCUAACCACCAAUGGCAGAACCUGGUUUGAUUUUUGGUAGCAAUAGGACCUAGGAAAAGAAAAGCUGUUCAGGUGGUGUGUGUCCCUGCAAAGAGGUAACUGGGGAAAUAGCAAUGCAUUCUCACAUCCUUCAGUGUUGUUUUUGGGGAAAAAAUGAGGUCACAGGAGGAAAAUAUUGGGAUUUAGACUGUUCUUGACCUGGAGAACAUAUGGUGUUGAUUGAGAAGGUCUGGCUGCUGUCCUGGGGGUUGAAAGAGGAAGCCUCUGCCUCAGUUUCUCUGCAUGUAGAUCUGAGACCACAUCCAUAUCUCCUUUCUAAGGAGCUGCACAAUCUGCGAUGAGUUCCUUCCAGCUUGUGCAUUCUGUGCCUGCUACCAACAGCUAUUAACUGUAUUAGUGCUUUAAAGCCCAAAUCUUAACUGACUGGGGGACUAGUCACUGUCUUCACUCACAUGAGAAAAGUACCAUUAUACUUGAUUUCUAGAUGGUUAAAAGUCGGCUCUAAGCAAGGGAGAUUAGGCAGAGCGAGAUAUGAAAUGGAGGAGACCCAGUUGAUGGUUCAGCUAUCAGUGUAAUUUUACUGAAGAAAGUAACUCAAACCUCGGUUUAUUCUGACCAAGUCAAGGACUACGUUGCGGUGGUGUUGCCAUAAGCCAAGGUCUGUCACAUAAGGAACAAAACUUGCUAGUGAAGCCAGGGCUGGUUUGGACCACACAAACACUGCGGCAUCACAGCAAGGCAGGGGGACUAGGAGGAGAGUCGGCCUGGCUCUGAGUGUGGUCUGUUGACACUCAAAAAGACACUCAGAGAGGCUGCAGACAGAUUUAGAGGUGACAGGCAAAGUAAUUGUGAGGAUUUGGGACUGGCUCCAUAGCAGGAAAAAAAAUAAUAAUUCAAUGAAACCGCUGGACUUGGAGCAAUCCUAGUCUGCAGUCACUGAGGCCAGGAGUGAAAUUUGCUUGUAAAGAUAAGCUGGAAGCAACAGCCUCCCCGAAGCCAAUGGAGCGCGUGAGCAUAUGCAAUUACCUCUCCACUUUGCAAUUUCUAUUACAUCGCACACUUCGGUGCCCAGCUGUAUCAUCUUGCCAUCUGCAAAGGGGCCAAGGUAAAGUUCAGAGUCAACAAACACUUCGGUUUCUCUUCCACCCUCCAAUACGCUCCUGCUUUUACAGAGGCCUUCCAGGAGUGGGGGAGAGACCCUGCUUUGUAAACCUAUGUGGGUUUACAUAAUUGUGUGCAUGUGGGGAGGUUUUACACCCUCCUGGUUUUAAAAAGUUUUCUUGGUGAUUCCAUAUUCUCUGGCAUCGGGCAGAUAUUAGACACCCUCUUUACUUGUGUUGGGUGGAUGCUGAGAUCUUCCAUGCACUGAGGCGCUUUGUGCUGAGAGGACAAAGCCUCUGGACACACAGUGAAAUUGGCCCAAGUGUUCCUACCUCUUCCUACACAUCAAAUUUCGCCAUUCUGGAUCAGGUAUCAAGUCCGACACCAUGCAGGACAAAGGCAUACACUUAAGAUCAGAGUGAUGGUAUUUAACAGGAUUGGAUAUGUCUGUAUGUGUCUGUAUUUUCAAAGGUGGUUCAAAGGAUUUCACUGGAAAAAAGAAUUUUCUAACAAUCAAACAUGGCAAGGUCAGGGGCUUGAGAAAAUAAUCUUUGCCCUUUAGACAGGGAAAAUAAAUUUGGAACAAGAAAAAACAUACUUUAAGGCUUUGACACUUUAUUGACAGAAAGGACAGGAAAAAAAAAAGUUGUUUUUUUCGUUUUAAAUUCUUCUUUAAAUGGGAAAACUUGUGAACUGAAAAUCCAUCAGAGAGAAUUCCUCUCCUUUAACAAAUGACCCCAGUGUGCCAGGCAAUGUACAAACAGACAGAAAUCACAACUGGCUAACUCCACCCUGAGCGGAGCCAGGGGCUUGAGUACUACCUAAAUAACAAACAUAGUAGUACUGCAGUGGCUUAGUUCCUGUAGCCUUAACCACGUCCUCUGAUGUUUGUGCUGGGACAAAACAAGGCCACCCUACAGUGCCUCAUCAUUUUCCCGAGGUGCACGGCACCAGUGGGGUUUCAGCACUGCACGGCGAGUGCCUGGUAGCACCAGGGCUGGGAUUAAAACACGUCUCCAGAAACCCUGGUUCGGAAGGUCUCCUGCCGUAACAGAUAAGGCGAUGGGCCUCCUGGAGGUUCUACUUUCAGUUCUCUGCCAGAGGGCCGAACACCCUGCCCGGCGUCAUGCCCGACCCGCCGCUGGCUGACAAGCUCCGGGCAGCGCUGUUUUCCUCCUCAGUUCUGGUACUGGCUUUACACACAAAGAACUGCUUCACUCAGUGACUUGCAGGAUCGCUUGCCUUGGAUUAACUCCCCCUUCCCUCUUGGAAAAGGGCAUGUGCAGCAAUCCCCAAAACACGCUCUCACGCUGCCAUUUGUGGAGUGCAGGUGCUGGGCUCAUGCACACAAACUACGUCGUCGUCUGCCCUCCAAACCUUUCCUAACAUGCCUUUCACUUUCUACCCUCCCGUACGGCCCCAUUUCUCAACUGCUAGAGAAACCUUAGGGAGAAGUACUUAUCAGCAAGGCUGUCCUACAUGGGAAGAGUACUGGGGGCUCCAACAGCUGCUCGGGGUUUGAGUCCCCUUGGCAGAUGUUUGCUAUUCCAGCCACUUCAUUAAUGUUGGAAACAAAACCCCUGAUUAUUCCUGACCAAAGCACCCCCUUUUUGAUUGACAGCCAGUGUGUGUUUCAUAUGAUAUAACCCGCGGUAUUGCUCUGGCCACUUUUUUAAAAAAUAUAAAAUAAAAAAAAAAAAACUCAUUAAUAAAAGUAAGAAAGAUACUGGGGACGUAUCAGGGUGUGCUAAUCCCACCUGCCAGUCCCUCUCCCUGGGCUCCAGCGAGGGCAGCGGCGUUUCUAGAGCCCAGGCAGAGGUGCCAGCCCCACGUCCCUGGGUGCCCAGCCUUUCAGACAGGAGGAAGAAAUGAGCUUUAAAAGACAAGCAGAGACCCUUGUCUUGCGGUCAGUUGUGCGUAAUUGACUUAGGCGAGCCGAUGGUUUCUUCCCCAUUUCAUUUCUGGGCUGGAUUGAGUUGGGCUCAUGGAAGCCUCUUCGAUUUGCAGCAUUUGUAUUCUGCUCUCAGCUUAGGAAACUUUUCUCUGCUGGGUUUUGUCGGGUUUUGUGAAACCAGUAAAUGAGCAGUGAAUUUGGAGGUGGGGAAAGGGGCUGCAGCUACUGCCCGCAGGCACCGAGGAAACACAGUGGAGCAAAAUGCUGUUUGCUGCUGUAUUUGGCUGGUUUGGGAUUUAAAUCACUUGCUUGGUUUGGAUAUUUUUUCAGAAAUAUUCUUUGCAAUAAUUAUUAGCAAGCAAUGGUUGCUUAAGUUAAUGUUAUUGGUAAUUAUUUUCUUUCCUUGAAAAAAUAACUGUCUGAGGAAGUGGAAAAGACAGUGUGCUCCUAA